GGUGGAUUGGCAGAGCGGGAAUGCGUCACUUUGCUAAAGUGUAGCCUACUCAAAAAGUAGCAGGGGUUCAAUUCCCUUAUCCACCG
rnacentral:tRNA from 1 species